GUGGCGAACGGGUGAGUAACACGUGGGUAAUCUGCCCUGCACUUCGGGAUAAGCCUGGGAAACCGGGUCUAAUACCGGAUAUGAGCUCCUGCCGCAUGGUGGGGGUUGGAAAGUUUUUCGGUGCAGGAUGAGUCCGCGGCCUAUCAGCUUGUUGGUGGGGUAAUGGCCUACCAAGGCGACGACGGGUAGCCGGCCUGAGAGGGUGAUCGGCCACACUGGGACUGAGACACGGCCCAGACUCCUACGGGAGGCAGCAGUGGGGAAUAUUGCACAAUGGGCGGAAGCCUGAUGCAGCGACGCCGCGUGGGGGAUGACGGUCUUCGGAUUGUAAACUCCUUUCAGUAGGGACGAAGCGAGAGUGACGGUACCUGCAGAAGAAGCACCGGCCAACUACGUGCCAGCAGCCGCGGUAAUACGUAGGGUGCAAGCGUUGUCCGGAAUUACUGGGCGUAAAGAGCUCGUAGGCGGUUUGUCACGUCGUCUGUGAAAUCCUCCAGCUCAACUGGGGGCGUGCAGGCGAUACGGGCAGACUUGAGUACUACAGGGGAGACUGGAAUUCCUGGUGUAGCGGUGAAAU
rnacentral:rRNA from 2 species